GAAUAAUAAAAUUGGAUCACUGAUACAGAGUGAUUUAGUUUGUUUGGUAGGAGGGGAUUUUAUUAUGAUAUGUAAAAAGAGUAGGAUCAGGGACUUUAUCCUGGGAAGAAGUAAUCCUGAAAACGUCUUGGGGAUUCUGACGGAUAAUCAGCUCAACAUGAAUUCCCAGUGUGACACUGUGUCCAAAAAGGCCAUUGUGAUCCUUGGAACUUUGAGUAGGAAGGAGAAUAUGUUACCUCUCUGUCUGGCAUCGAUGCACGUGUGGAAUUCUGGGUCCAGUUCUGGUGCCCACAGUUCCAGAAGGAUGUUGAUAAAAGGGAAAGGAUCCAAAGCAGAGCCACCAGAAUGAUUAAAGAGCCAGAGAACUGUGAGGACACCAUGGCAGUAAAUCCACCAAACUACAGCUACAAAAGGAUCUCACAAAACUGGAUUCAUCAGCAUCACACUGCCAUCAAAAAUGAGGUUUUGGUCAAUCACAGAAGAGAGCUGAGUGCUAAUCUCAUGCGUUAGUGUAAACAUGAAACUCAUGCUUGGGUUGUCAGCUUGUCAAUUAAAUCAUCAACUGUG